CCCGGCAGUCUCUACCCUACUCCAGCCGCCGCCGCCACCGCCGCCCUCCCCGCGGCCGCCGCUACUUCCUGCUUCUCUCCGGUUCAGCCUCCCCCCUCCCUCUCCUCUCUCCGCGCUCCGGGUCUGGGCUGCCCGCUUUCGCACUCGCCAUUGGCCCUUGCCCCCUUCGCUCAGCCCUGCGCCCCUCCCAGCCCCGCACUGGGUUGGCCGUAAGUACUGCCGCUCGGAACUAGACCCGCACAGUCCUCUUAUGCUCAUUGGGCAAGGGGCCGAGGCCCUCUGAAGAUACCUCUCCCCAUUGGCUGCGCAAGGGUCCGUCUGCCCCAUCUGCAAGUCACGGAAACGAUUGGCCUCCGCCACUGUCGCUUAGAAAGAAGCCAGCCUGCUUCCCGGCUUUCCUACUGGAGAGGGGAGCGCCCAGGUGCGUCUCCGCCCCUCGCUCCCUAUUGGCCGCUCGAAGCUUGAAGCUGCAGUUCACGUUCGCGAAUCGAAGGAAUCCAGCUUCUGUGUGGUGGGCGCUUUGAGCAGAACCGCACUGAGUCGGAGUGCAGGACGGAAGUGUAGGUCCUUUUGCGCUGUUUCAAGCUAAAUCCGUGUCACUGAUGCCGGGCAGAAGUCACAGAAUGGGACGCCACCCCAAACAUUACGUCAUCCGCUGACCAUUUCCUCGCUGUCUUCCCACCGUCUAAAUCGCCAUAUAAUCUGAUGGAUGGGGUCCUCGCACGGGCCAGCUCCUGGGCUACAGCGUAACCCGUCGCUCCUCCCUCUGCGGGAGGGCGUGGACGGGGCACGGGAUUCCGAGCGUGGAAGGAAUCGGUACCUAAAGAUUCUACUGACCCAAGGAAAGGACAAUUUGAAGAUGAAGAAGUUGUAUGUUAGUACACGGGUGGGGAGGAUCCUGUAGACAGGAAAAACUGAAGUAGCAGAGCGAUAAGGAAAGUUCCUGGAGCCAUGUUCUUCAGAAGGUGAGCGAGAGGGUCAAGUUCACAAACAGAGGAAUUGCCUUACACAGGGGCAGGAACAGUUCCCGAAUAAUAAUUGGGAGAGAAGGCAGAGUGAGCAGGCAUGGGUUGAGGGAGCUGGGGAGCUGUGGGAUAUCUCUUUGUUGUUUCUGUUGUCCAGUGAUAUAAGAAAGAGCACGUGUUGUCAAACUCUAUAAGAAUAAAAAA